rnacentral:rRNA from 1 species
GACGAACCGUGCGAACGUUGUUCGGAAUCACUGGGCUUAAAGGGUGCGUAGGCGGCCCUGUAAGUCAGUGCUGAAAUACCCCGGCUUAACCGGGGGGGUGGCAUUGAUACUGGAGGGCUUGAGUACAGAUGAGGUAGGCGGAAUUGACGGUGUAGCGGUGAAAUGCAUAGAUAUCGUCAAGAACACCGAUAGCGAAGGCAGCUUACUGGGCUGUAACUGACGCUGAUGCACGAAAGUGUGGGGAUCAAACAGG